rnacentral:rRNA from 1 species
CCUACGGGAGGCAGCAGUGAGGAAUAUUGGUCAAUGGCCGCAGGGCUGAACCAGCCAAGUAGCGUGAAGGAUGACUGCCCUACGGGUUGUAAACUUCUUUUAUAAAGGAAUAAAGUGAGGCACGUGUGCCUUUUUGUAUGUACUUUAUGAAUAAGGAUCGGCUAACUCCGUGCCAGCAGCCGCGGUAAUACGGAGGAUCCGAGCGUUAUCCGGAUUUCUUGGGUUUAAAGGGAGCGUAGAUGGGUUGUUAAGUCAGUUGUGAAAGUUUGCGGCUCAACCGUAAAAUUGCACUUGAUACUGGCAGUCUUGAGUACAGUGGAGGUAGGCGGAAUUCGUGGUGUAGCGGUGAAAUGCUUAGAUAUCACGAAGAACUCCGAUUGCGAAGGCAGCUUACUAAACUGCCACUGACAUUGAUGCUCGAAAGUGUGGGUAUCAAACAGGAUUAGAUACCCUAGUAGUC